rnacentral:rRNA from 1 species
AGAGUUUGAUCCUGGCUCAGAUUGAACGCUGGCGGCAUGCCUUACACAUGCAAGUCGAACGGCAGCGCGGGGCAACCUGGCGGCGAGUGGCGAACGGGUGAGUAAUAUAUCGGAACGUACCCUGGAGUGGGGGAUAACGUAGCGAAAGUUACGCUAAUACCGCAUACGAUCUAAGGAUGAAAGUGGGGGAUUCGCAAGAACCUCAUGCUCCUGGAGCGGCCGAUAUCUGAUUAGCUAGUUGGUAGGGUAAAAGCCUACCAAGGCAUCGAUCAGUAGCUGGUCUGAGAGGACGACCAGCCACACUGGAACUGAGACACGGUCCAGACUCCUACGGGAGGCAGCAGUGGGGAAUUUUGGACAAUGGGCGCAGGCCUGAUCCAGCAAUGCCGCGUGAGUGAAGAAGGCCUUCGGGUUGUAAAGCUCUUUUGUCAGGGAAGAAACGGUGAUCUCUAAUAUAGGUUGCUAAUGACGGUACCUGAAGAAUAAGCACCGGCUAACUACGUGCCAGCAGCCGCGGUAAUACGUAGGGUGCAAGCGUUAAUCGGAAUUACUGGGCGUAAAGCGUGCGCAGGCGGUUUUGUAAGACUGUCGUGAAAUCCCCGGGC